CUCAGCACUCCCUCCCACCAUCACCGGGGGAGCGGGCGUUCCCGUCCCGAGGGGAGGCCGGAGACCGCAGGGAAGCCAGGAGUCAGCCGGGUUCCCAGACCCCCCCGACGCCACCUUCUCCUGCCCCCAAACACUGACUGCGCCCUCAGUGCUGAGAAGCCCGGGUGGAUAAGCCAACUGUGCUCGUCCUGCUGGGUUCUGAACCCAGCCAGGGCCGCGGAGACGGUUCUAACCUCUCGCCUUUAAGACUCUUCCGACCAAACUGGCUGAGAGGGCGAGGGCGGGAGCUCGGUUCCACACACCUGCACUCCCCAGCCUCGGGGGCAGGAUCGGCUCCCCAGCACCCUUCACCCGCCCCAGAGCGCGCUCCGCGGGCCGCCAGCCCGGGCCGGCCGCCGAGGGAGCCCGCCCUCUACACUUUCUCCCCGGCCCCCUGCCCCGGAGGCCCCUUUCCCCAGGGCCUGCCGCAGCCUAGGAUGACCUUGGUCUCGUCCCUUCCUUCCUUGUAAAGAGGGCCUUGAGGGCUUUCAAGAAAGGGAACAGACACGGAAAAUAUUUCUGCAACAGUU
ensembl:lncRNA